rnacentral:miRNA from 1 species
GACACAGCCUAGGAGCACAUG